UUCUAUUGCCAUAUGACACCAAAAGUCACCAUGUUAUGAAGCACCGAGAAGACUUGCAAGAGACAACGUUUCUUGUUGACGGACUAACCUCAGUUUCCUGUGAAAUAAGCUGCCAGUCUUGUGGACUUUGAAAGUCAUCUCCAGAUUCUGAGGCAUGGUGUACAAAUCACUUUGGACAUACAUUAGGACAAAUCCUGUCAGGCCAUAUUUGGGAUAUCAUGUACAUGGCCACUUCACAACAGAAAGAGAGCCUGUGGAGUGCAGGGGUACUCUGCGCUUCCUUACUGCUGUACCACCAGAGUGCACCACAGCACUUUAGAAGCUCAGUUUCAGUAAUGAACUCAUAUGAACCAACAAGUCACAGAAUUUAUUUCCCUGGCCUGAUGGAGAACAAGAACCGUGAUUUAGGCCAUUUAGACCCUUUGAGCUACUAAUUCUUACUUUCAGCCAGCAAAGAAACUUCUAGCAAAAGUAACAUCUAAUGGUUUUUUAGCCAUUAAAAUAUGCACCCAAAUUUCAUUCUGAAAUUUAAGAAAGAAUUUCCUUUAGGUCCAGUUUAUUUAAAAAGUAAUUAAGUAUAUAAAAAAGCAUUCUUUUCCUGAGAAAUAAUCAUCUUUCAUGUGUAUUCAGAAGCACUUUACCGCUCCAAGGGUAAACAUUUAAAUUCAUUAACAUUUGCUUCAUAAGAAGAAAGUGAUGACAAAUGACAGUUGCUAAGUCUAUAGGCGUUUUCUCAGCUUCUAUAGGCAUUUCAUGCUCCACCACGCUGAUCAGGAAACUUGUUUCUGCUUGUCAGUGAAUCCCAAGGGAGCGACUACAAAUGAAGAUUUCAUAGUCGGCGAUGUAAUAUACUAAAGAAAAAAAAUGACUCCCAGUCUGCCACAGUCAAUUCAAAUCCCUUGAAGUUACAGUGUUCCUUUGUUUUCAACAGACUCAAAAUAACUUAAAAGCUUCUUUUUUUUUAAAUUCUAGAUUAUAAUUUGGGGGGGGAAAGUAUAGGGUGGGAGAAGCUGAAUAAAAUGUCAAGGAUACCACACACAUGUCGCCCAUCACAUAUAACAUUUUUUUUUUUAAGAACUGGUGGUUAUGUGCAUUUGAAGAUUUGGCUUUAGUUGUAUUCUGUUUCUUGGUAUGAUAUUGUCAAGUCAUUUAAAAAAAAUUUUUUUGAGCAGACUGUCUCAGUCUGGAUAGGUAUCCAAAUCCUCAUGUGGGACCUCCAGUGCAACAAACUGUGUUAGGUUCAUCAAUUAAGUCGUCUGCAGAUUUUUAGCAUACAGAACAAAGUAUCAGACCUGUUUCCAGCUGCUGGGUCUGUUGGGGAGGAUGCAACGCAAACUGAAGAGAAGUGGGUUCCCCGAGACCCCAGCUGUUCACUGGGGCACAGCAGACAGCUUGAUGGGCUUCUGCAGGGGAAAAAUGGAGCAGCUGGUGUGAAGCUGGAAAACUGCAACCAGCUUACGCUUUGGGAAGAGAAACAUUCUUCAUCUGAAAAUCCUGUAUAUCAGGAGGAGGCUGCUCCUGAGAGCAAGUAUAUAACACAAUAAAUUCUAAGAACAAACCAAUAGAAAAAAAACUACAUGUAGUUUAUUUAUACACCCUAAAGCUAAAAAAGAAGAAAUCUGUAUAUUUAACUUGGAAAAAACUAAAUUUUUGAGCUGGAUUUUUCUGGUAGGUUCAAAAUCUUUGAUAUAUAAUUAUUCCU